rnacentral:rRNA from 1 species
AGAGUUUGAUCAUGGCUCAGGAUGAACGCUGGCGGCGUGCUUAACACAUGCAAGUCGAACGAAGCACUUUAUUUGAUUUCUUCGGAAUGAAGAUUUAGUGACUGAGUGGCGGACGGGUGAGUAACGCGUGGGCAACCUGCCUCAUACAGGGGGAUAACAGUUGGAAACGACUGCUAAUACCGCAUAAGCGCACAGUACCGCAUGGUACAGUGUGAAAAACUCCGGUGGUAUGAGAUGGGCCCGCGUCUGAUUAGCCAGUUGGCGGGGUAACGGCCCACCAAAGCGACGAUCAGUAGCCGACCUGAGAGGGUGACCGGUCACAUUGGGACUGAGACACGGCCCAAACUCCUACGGGAGGCAGCAGUGGGGAAUAUUGCACAAUGGGGAAACCCUGAUGCAGCGACGCCGCGUGAGCGAAGAAGUAUUUCGGUAUGUAAAGCUCUAUCAGCAAGGAAGAAGAAUGACGGUACCUGACUAAGAAGCACCGGCUAAAUACGUGCCAGCAGCCGCGGUAAUACGUAUGGUGCAAGCGUUAUCCGGAUUUACUGGGUGUAAAGGGAGCGCAGGCGGAAGGCUAAGUCUGAUGUGAAAGCCCGGGGCUCAACCCCGGUACUGCAUUGGAAACUGGUCAUCUAGAGUGUCGGAGGGGUAAGUGGAAUUCCUAGUGUAGCGGUGAAAUGCGUAGAUAUUAGGAGGAACACCAGUGGCGAAGGCGGCUUACUGGACGAUUACUGACGCUGAGGCUCGAAAGCGUGGGGAGCAAACAGGAUUAGAUACCCUGGUAGUCCACGCCGUAAACG